AACGAACGCUGGCGGCAUGCCUAACACAUGCAAGUCGAACGAGACCUUCGGGUCUAGUGGCGCACGGGUGCGUAACGCGUGGGAACCUGCCCUUAGGUUCGGAAUAACUCCCCGAAAGGGGUGCUAAUACCGGAUAAUGUCCUCGGACCAAAGAUUUAUCGCCUUUGGAUGGGCCCGCGUUGGUUUAGCUAGUUGGUAGGGUAAAAGCCUACCAAGGCGACGAUCCAUAGCUGGUCUGAGAGGAUGAUCAGCCACACUGGGACUGAGACACGGCCCAGACUCCUACGGGAGGCAGCAGUGGGGAAUAUUGGAAAAUGGGCGAAAGCCUGAUCCAGCAAUGCCGCGUGAGUGAUGAAGGCCUUAGGGUUGUAAAGCUCUUUUACCCGGGAUGAUAAUGACAGUACCGGGAGAAUAAGCUCCGGCUAACUCCGUG
rnacentral:rRNA from 1 species